AGGCACUAGAAUAUUUUUAUUUGUCUUGUUAUUGGCCAUCCAUUAUUCCUUAUGCCUCUGUAGAUGCAAUCUGAUGAGGGCAAUUGAUUUACCUGUCUAGCUUGUAGCUGCAUUCUCUGUUGGAAGAGAUAGUGAGUAUUUUUAUGCUUCAUUAUAUGCUGGGCUUUAUUACGAAUCUCAGAAUGAAAUAGAUGCUGCCAAAGUUCAUACAGUUGCUGCAUGCCAGUCUUCUUAUGGGCAAAGGUCUGAUGAUUAUAUGGCAGCUCUUUCCAAGGUUCACUGUCAAUGUCGGAAUUGGGUGUUCAACUAAAACUUUUUGCAGUGUGACCAUUGUUCACGAUGAAACUGCUAAGUGUCUCUAUGUUCCACAAACAUAUUGAGUUACUAUGCUGCUGGAACGGUUAAAAGAAUUUUUCAUAUUGCUUUAUUCUAUUACUUCUUCACUUGAUGUUGUGGCCUAUAUGAAUAUUAGUAAAAAUUUUAAACAUGGAAAUUAUUUUAACAAUGAGAUAAUCUUUAGUUGAUUAAUA